ensembl:ncRNA B0212.9 ncRNA
UACUAAAAAGUUGUCAACAAACAAAAUGUAGGACAUUUUGUGCUAAACAUUUUGUUAGUUGACAACUUUUUGAUAACUUU